GCAAAGCACAGCUGAGAUAGAAAAACUGAAGAAAAAAGUCAUUUGUUUGGUUCUUUUCGACCUCAAUCUACUUCUCAAUUUGUUUUCUAUUUUUUGCUUUAUCCUAUUCGAUCUUCUCUUCUGCUGUUGCAUCGAAACUGAUUCUCUCCAUCCAGAGUUGUUUUUUCAGGUGGCUUAAUUUACAAUUUCUGAUGCUGAGGAAAUAACAAGACUUGAAUACUUUUCUUUAUUGAGAAAGAUGCUGGAAGGUGGUGUGAAAUUCCCGGGAACAAUAGACCUCAACAAGCAGAACGAUGACUACUAUGAUUUCUCUAAGGGCUUUUACCAUAAGCUUGAGGAGGGCACGGAUAUGUUAAUUGACAGUAUUGGGAGCUUGCAAACAAGUAACCAUGGAGGAUCUGUUGCAAUGUCCAUUGAUAAUAGCAGUGUUGGCUCCAAUGAUUCUCAUACUCGUAUAUUGAACCACCAAGGGUUGCGGAGACGCCCCAAUGAUAAUUCCUCCAUUGCACACAGUGUCAAUCAUCGAGGAAGAGUUACACAUGCUUUGAGUGAUGAUGCUUUGGCACAAGCACUAAUGGACACUAGUUCCCCAACUGAAGGGCUUGACAAUUUUGAUGAGUGGACAAUUGAUUUGAGGAAUCUUAGUAUGGGUGAGGCUUUUGCUCAAGGGGCUUUUGGAAAACUCUACAGAGGUACUUACAAUAAUGAAGAUGUUGCUAUUAAAAUCUUGGAGAGGCCUGAAAAUGAUUCAACAAAGGCUCAGUUGAUGGAACAACAGUUUCAGCAGGAGGUGAUGAUGCUGGCUACAUUAAAUCAUCCUAACAUAGUUCGUUUUAUUGGUGCAUGCCAUAAGCCAAUGGUAUGGUGUAUUGUUACAGAAUAUGCCAAAGGGGGUUCAGUUCGGCAAUUUUUAAUGAAGCGACAAAACAGAUCAGUGCCCCUUAAAUUGGCUGUUAAACAAGCUUUGGAUGUUGCACGUGGGAUGGCAUAUGUUCAUGGCCUUGGAUUGAUCCACAGGGACUUGAAAUCCGAUAAUCUUUUGAUUUUUGGUGACAAAUCAAUUAAAAUUGCUGAUUUUGGAGUUGCUCGGAUUGAGGUGCUAACGGAAGGAAUGACACCUGAGACGGGAACAUACCGUUGGAUGGCUCCAUAUAGAGAGCACAGGUUCGGAGACUCGGCAGAACCAAGGGUAGCCAUUUUCUGAACCAGAGAAAGAAAAAUUAUACCAAAGGAGAGGAGAUUCGUGUUCAGGCCAACAACCCAAGCAAAGACACUUAUAAGAGAGAAAACUGAUUCUUGAAAUGGACCCGGUCUAGGAGGAUCUGGUUAGUGCUUCAGAGUGGUAUGGUGGCAUUCUGUUGGUGGCAAGUCAGUAUGUGUACUGACACAGGUGACUGGGCAGCUUGUGAGAUCUGCUCGCAGAUUGUAGUUUAGACUUCAAACUUCCUGGUUAGGUUGUGUUUGACAAGAUGUACCUAUCCUUUAAGUUUCCAGAACAAAGAGUCACUGGCAGAUGGUGGUGACAAGCAGCAGACCGUGGUUUCCCGGCAAAGGCAAUAACAACCGGUGCUGUGGACAACAGAGCAGAGUUGUACGUGCUCUAAUAUGAAGUUGAGAGACUUUGAAUAUCGGAAGAUCAAGACUUGGGGAAUUUUGAGAAAUUUGGAACGGUGCCACCUAAAAGGGAUUUAGAAUCUGCUGGACGGAAAGGAACGACCGAGCAACAAUGAGCUGAAGAAAGAUUGAACCUGCUCAUUUACGCACCUUGAGAAUAAAUUUCAGGACAGAUUUCUGUAAAUUGUGUUUUGCACUCAGCUUAGUAAAUAGUGAUAAUCAUAUAAAUGUGAAAAAAUAAAUACAACUUAUACUUAGAAGAAUAAUAAAGAGCGUAUUUUAAAGGUAUAAUCCAAUCACAUUUUUAACUUCUGUAUAUUUAUUCUUUCAUUCCAAUUGUAUCUUCUAUUUAAUGAAUGACCUUUUAUCUGUUAUUUCUUGUCAAAACUAGGCAGUACUUGAUAGCUACAUGGAGAAUAACUGAGUCAGCCUGCUUUCUUGUGUUUCUAUUAAAAUCCAGUUAAUUACCAUAUUUAUACUGUGGAUAAUAUAAACCUGCUUUUUUGAAGUGCUGAUAUAUAAUUUGUUUCACUGUUUUAUAUAUUUUCUAAUAAAAAAUACAUAUGUUGACAUGUACUUAAAUCU